rnacentral:rRNA from 1 species
UAGGGGGCAAGCGUUGUCCGGAAUCAUUGGGCGUAAAGAGCGUGUAGGCGGUCCGGUAAGUCGGCUGUGAAAGUCCAGGGCUCAACCCUGGGAUGCCGGUCGAUACUGCCGGACUAGAGUUCGGAAGAGGCGAGUGGAAUUCCCGGUGUAGCGGUGAAAUGCGCAGAUAUCGGGAGGAACACCUAUGGCGAAGGCAGCUCGCUGGGACGUUACUGACGCUGAGACGCGAAAGCGUGGGGAGCAAACAGG